UCGGCCACGGCGCAGGUGCCGCGCAGGUGUCUCCAGGGGCGCGGCCCACGGCGGCACGGGUCCCAGGGGCGCCCGGGGUGCGGCGCCUCGCGGGCUGCACGCGAGAGGCUGGUGGCGAUGAUGAGGCAGACCCCCCUUCCUCCCCUCCCCCCCUCCUCCCCUCCGAGAGGGACGCGCCUUCGGAAGCGCCCUUCUGCCCCUCCGCCUUCACCCUCGCCCGCUACCGGAUCCGCGCCCACCUGCCUCCUCGCCGCCAGCGCCCUCGCCCCCGCCCGCAGACCCUCCCCGCCUCGGCCCGAAGGCGCGGAGCCCGGCGGGACCGCCCUCGCUCUCCGUCUGCGCCGCCAGCCCUCAGUGCCGGCCGGCCCUCGAGGAGAGGCAGGCAAGAGGACAAGUGAGCGUGACACGGCGCGAGGACAAGCUCUUUCCGUAUUGUGCGUCAUAGGAAAUAUCAAGAAGCUAAUAAGAAAAAAAAAAAAAAAAAAAAAAGAGAGAGAAAAACCAGACAUAUUUGGUAAUCAUACCUGCUACUCAAGAAAAAAAAAAAAAAAUACCCUCUGCUGAAAAAGAAAAAAACAAGAAAACAUACAUAAGACUGAAAAAAGUUAAAAAAGAUGAGCGAAGCCUGAGAAACUGAGACAAGUCGACAGCAAGAUCACCAACGCCCUCUGUGACGAAAGGAAGGCGCGUGAUAUGGCGGGAAAAGGGGGGAUACAUGAUUCCUGGUCGUCGAUGGAAAACAUGGAUUCUCGGCCCGAAUGAAAAACAGCAGCACGAAGGAAGACAUGGAAGGAAAGGCCAAGAAAGAGGGAGAAAGCGAAGGAGAAGAGAAAAUGGAUAAUAUUUCUUCGUAUCGG